AAUGAACGCUGGCGGCGUGCCUAACACAUGCAAGUCGUACGAGAAAGGGGCUUCGGCCCUGAGUAGAGUGGCGCACGGGUGAGUAACGCGUGGGUAAUCUGCCCUUGGAUUUGGAAUAAAUCCGCGAAAGUGGAGCUAAUACCGGAUAGUCUGGCUUUUUAACGAAGGCGGUAAAGGAUGCCUCUGCAUAUGCAUUCGUCCGAGGAUGAGCCCGCGUCUCAUUAGCUAGUUGGUAGGGUAAUGGCCUAACAAGGGAACGAUGGGUAGCUGGUCUGAGAGGAUGAUCAGCCACACUGGAACUGAAACACGGUCCAGACUCCUACGGGAGGCAGCAGUGGGGAAUAUUGCGCAAUGGGCGAAAGCCUGACGCAGCAACGCCGUGUGAGGGAUGAAGGCUUUCGGGUCGUAAACCUCUGUCAGAAGGGAAGAACGGGCAUUGGUCUAAUAGGCCUUUGUUUUGACGGUACCUUCAGAGGAAGCACCGGCUAACUCCGUGCCAGCAGCCGCAGUAA
rnacentral:rRNA from 1 species